CCUACGGGUGGCAGCAGUGGGGAAUAUUGGGCAAUGGGCGCAAGCCUGACCCAGCAACGCCGCGUGAAGGAAGAAGGCUUUCGGGUUGUAAACUUCUUUUAAGAGGGAAGAGCAGAAGACGGUACCUCUUGAAUAAGCCACGGCUAACUACGUGCCAGCAGCCGCGGUAAUACGUAGGUGGCAAGCGUUGUCCGGAUUUACUGGGUGUAAAGGGUGCGUAGGCGGGCAUUUAAGCCGGCGGUAAAAUGUCGGGGCUCAACCCCGGCCUGCCGUCGGAACUGGGUGCCUUGAGUGGGCGAGAGGUAUGCGGAAUGCGUGGUGUAGCGGUGAAAUGCAUAGAUAUCACGCAGAACCCCGAUUGCGAAGGCAGCAUACCGGCGCCCUACUGACGCUGAGGCACGAAAGUGCGGGUAUCGAACAGGAUUAGAUACCCUAGUAGUG
rnacentral:rRNA from 1 species